AUUGAACGCUGGCGGCAUGCUUUACACAUGCAAGUCGAACGGCAGCGCGGGCUUCGGCCUGGCGGCGAGUGGCGAAUGGGUGAGUAAUGCAUCGGAACGUGCCCAGUAGUGGGGGAUAGCCCGGCGAAAGCCGGAUUAAUACCGCAUACGACCUGAGGGUGAAAGCGGGGGACCGAAAGGCCUCGCGCUAUUGGAGCGGCCGAUGUCGGAUUAGCUAGUUGGUGGGGUAAAGGCUUACCAAGGCGGCGAUCCGUAGCUGGUCUGAGAGGACGACCAGCCACACUGGGACUGAGACACGGCCCAGACUCCUACGGGAGGCAGCAGUGGGGAAUUUUGGACAAUGGGGGCAACCCUGAUCCAGCCAUGCCGCGUGGGGGAAGAAGGCCUUCGGGUUGUAAACCGCUUCUGUUCGGGAAGAAAUCCUCUGGGCUAAUACCCCGGGGGGAUGACGGUACCGGAAGAAUAAGCACCGGCUAACUACGUG
rnacentral:rRNA from 1 species